rnacentral:lncRNA from 1 species
GAAACGAAAGCACCAGACAAAUAAGGCUAACAAUUUUUACUUUUAUUUUUUUAGAGAUACGUAGCACAUUACCUGUUUUGUUUAUUUCAUUUAGAAAUAAACUUAGCUAGAAAUGUGAAUCAACUAGAAUUCGAACUUGGAUCUCAGAUACCAACUACCAAGCGCUUUGCCACUUUGCUCUAGGGACGGUCGGUCAAGCUAACAAAAUUUUAAGAAUAAGAAUAAAAGGAAAGGACAAUGUGAAAGGAGAAAAGA